rnacentral:rRNA from 1 species
UACGGGGGGGGCAAGCGUUGUUCGGAAUUACUGGGCGUAAAGGGCUCGUAGGCGGCGAUCUCAGUCAGACGUGAAAUCCCCCGGCUUAACUGGGGAACUGCGUCUGAUACUAGAUGGCUUGAAUCCGGGAGAGGGAUGUGGAAUUCCAGGUGUAGCGGUGAAAUGCGUAGAUAUCUGGAGGAACACCGGUGGCGAAGGCGGCAUCCUGGACCGGUAUUGACGCUGAGGAGCGAAAGCCAGGGGAGCAAACGGG